CUCUCGAUCCAGAGAAAAACCGGUACGACGCCCCCUCCUCUCGAUCCAGAUGCGACCUCUCUCCCGCUCCGCCGCCGCCCCUACUGCUCCGCCGCCGCCCCCUCGAUCUGUUUCCUGUGGCCAGACCCGGUCGGGGGAGCCGCCGUAGAGCCUCCACGUCGUCGGAGCAGAGCAGCCCGAGAUUGAUGAGAAUUUGGCGAGGGAGAUCAUAAACCACCGCUCGCUGCGGCACAUCAAUUGUUGAAUUCGCUUGAAGGAGGGAUGACGAACAACAUGGGAACAAGGAGGAACUUUACAUCGAGACGAUGUUUCCUCUCUCCCAUUCUCUUUCCUUUCCGAGCCGUUCACAAUCGUUAGAGAGGUGGACAUUGAUUGGGAGGGAGGAUAAGAGGCCUCAGAUCGUGGAUCCUCUUUGAUCCAGACCUCCUCGACGCCUUGCGCGCCGUCAUCUACACAUACACCCACGCGCUCGGGUGCGAAGUGUCCACACAUGCGCCCGACUAGGACGAGCUCGGCGUGCUUCUGCCGGGCCAAACGGCGCCAUGCCCCUGUUGUUGUGGACCUGUGGUGGUACAUCAACGAAGAUGAUGAUGAGGUGGCGCUACAUGAGCGGUCGUGGCGCCACCCGAUGCUCCAUCACGCCUUGCGCAGGGGUGCAAGCAAGGUGGCCUGGUUCAUCAUGUGCGGCGCAUGGAGUGGUCGGCUGGUUGCCAUUGGCUCUAUGAACAUGGCUCGGCCGCUGCCAUCACUGUGAACCGCAUGUUGUUCCUCAGAUGCAACAAGAAUGACUUCUUGGGUUCACUGUACUUUCUAAACGGUUGUAACUUUUUUGCUUCUGAAGUGUCAUAGGAUACCAAAAAUCUGGAUGAUAUAUUAGUCACCUGCAGUCCUUGACAAGAAUUGAUCCAAAGGACGAAAACUUAUAAAGUCCUCAAGCACAUAAACUACAGGAAGUUGGAAGCAGAGAAAAUGGAUUGGGACAAGGAGCCAGACAGAGGAUGAGGAGGGGCUCAGCGGAACAAAUGGCCAAGGAGAAAAAAGUAGCUAUCGCCACAAGCAUCAAGAUAUGUGGGCUUCAUGUAACUCAUGCUUCCUACCAAUACGUAUUUCAUAAUUUCCAUUGAAUACCUCAAAUGAUCUGAGCUUGUCUGUUAUUUUUUGCUGAACAGUCCACUCCGCACCACAUGAGAAAUCUACACAUUUUUUUUGUUAUAAUCAGAUUUAUUCUCUAGCCAAGAAUUAUGACUAAUUUCUCAGGCCUGAAGAACCAGUAUAUAAUCAUAGUUGCUUAAUUAGUUAGGGAUGUUUCGGCAAUUGUUUUUACCACCACUAUUAAUCACAAUGUUCUGUUUGUUGUAGGCAUCAUUUACUAUCCUGCAGAAUACAUCGGUAAGUUGAGGUGUGUUUGAGUAGCCUUGCUAUCCAAAUAGUUUAUAAUCCUUUUAUGCAUCUUGUUGUGAGACUGUUAUUUUCUUAAUUUAUUAAUGCUUGAUGGUUCUUGCGGGCAUGGCUAUUACGGAAGAUAUGAUCAGACAUACGAGUCAAGAUAGUGAGGGAGUAAUAGUUCUUGCAUAUGAAAGUGGAACCUUGUAGCAUGUGGGUUUGUAAAAAUAGUCAUUAUGAGAAUGCCUGCAAAUGUUCAUGAUUAACAUAUUUGCAUAUUUUGAUGAAAUGCGAUCCUUGAAACUAUUGUGCACGGCCUUUGUUUGUAGGAAUAUCCAGGGUGGACAAAUGACUGGCUUAGGAGCACCAUAACAUCUUUCCUUGCAUAAAGAAACCACACCUCCUAAAAUAAUGGACAUCUGCAGCAGCAAAAUAACUGUUGAUCAUUAUUAUUUCCUCCAAAAUAGUUGCUCAUUAUUUAACUUCCUAACUUGAAAAAUACGACAGGACUUGAUGAAACUGAUCUUGCUUACAAAUUUGACUCAAAAGUUUUGUUCUGCAUUUUGUAGGACAAAUAAGACAGUGUUUAAUUAGGUGGACAUAAUAUACUUGGUGCUUUUUUUUGCGGGAUAAUAUACUUGGUGCUGAUCUUUCUAGAGCGUUUAGCAAUUUAGUGUUAUUUUCACAUAUAAAAAGAGAACCAACUGGCUAGCCUAUACAAUUUUGGUGACACGACAAAUUAAAGUACUAAGGCGACAAGGUAUAUGCCCGCUAUACUGCAAUUUCUGCAAGUUUACCAGAAUAUGUGAAUUGGACAAUCAGUUAGAUCCAAGACAAGAUGUCUACUUUCGGAAACUACUGUUUGGAAUUCAAAUAUUUAAAGCAAUUAGGAAUUAAAAUUUCUGUUCAUUCAUCCAGAUGUCUACGGAUCAAUUUAUCAAACCACUAAUGAAAACGAGGGGGUGAUGAGGGACAUCGAACACAAAUAUUAAAGAAUCCCAUUGAGCUAUGGGAACUGCAGCAAUGAACGAUGGGGAAGCCAUAGAUGCACAUCGACCUAUGGUUGUCCCUUCUUCCGCAAUGGCCAGCUACCUCGGCUCGGUGGCAACGCGGGCCCGCUCUGCGGGAGCAGGGAGGACUAGGCAGCAGUGACGGAGGGCCCUGCGCUCCUGACCCGUGAAGUCUAUCUCCAGUAUUGGUUGAUCUUUAGUUUAUUCCCAGCUGCAAAUUUUACUGAAAUGAACCACAAUACAGAUGGUUUAGGCCCUGUUUGGAUGACAGCCAGUGGAUGCCCUUCCAAAAUAUUGGUCGGCAGGCUGGCGUGUGUUUGGUUCACGGCCAAAAAAUUUCGGAUCUCAGCCAAUUAUUUGGUUACCCGUGUUAUUCUGCAGCAGCGUGCGGGCGAGUUUCCGGCGGCACAUUCCCUUGUUUUGGCGGGGCUGGCUUGGGCAUCAUCCAAACAGCCCCUUACUCCUUUAUUAUUUUCGUGGAGUGGCGUACAUUUACCUUUGCAAUUGGGAAGCAAAAUCUGAAAGUUCAGUUUCAGUUUUGUCGUACAAGCUUGAAACAUUAGCAUAUAGUAUUGUCUUAUAAAAGAUUAGAUGCUCCCGCUUUUAGAGAGCUGAUCAUACAUAUCUUGCUUGAUUUGAUGUUGCUCUGUGUUAUUAUGUACGUCUCGGCCGAAAUUAAUAGGAAGGAGAGGCACUCCAAGAGAUCGUAUGUUUUCGACAAAGGGUGAAUUUUAUUGGCUCAAAAGAAGCAUCAAGAGGAUACAAUAUAAUGAGCAUACACCCGGCCUCUGCAUAACUAGGAUGCACACAGCCAACCCAACACAAACGCUAAAACACACCAACGACUAGCAAAGUCAUAAGACCAAAAGCUAUGAAUAUGUAUGAAAAGGAAAAAAAGAAAUAAAAAAGCCCCAAAGCGACCAGAUCAGCGAACGACAAACUAGAACUGCGACCAUAUUCGCACCAACCAUUGACACCACAUUGACGACGAGGAUCUUCAACAACAACGCCUUCAAGAAGGAAGCGACACUCAAGCGCCGCCGUCGCCGGAUCCAACCAAAAAGGCUAGAAUCAAAGUUUUCACCCUGAAGAAACAGUCCGAACGUAUCCGAGCAAUGCCUCCAACAAGGUCACGAUGUAAAAAAAACAUCGCCAUUGCUAGGGAUGACCACUCGGGUCUGACCUAGGCUUUCGCCCCGGAGCUCGAGACCGGGUGCUCGCAGCACCACCAUCAAAGUCACACAUGUGUUGUCGCCGCCGCUUUUCCACAAUCCAAGCAGCUGCAAUUUAACCGCCGCCACUCCAACAACAUUCCUUUGCGUCAAGUCAUUGUCCAUAAUUUGUACCUCACCACCGAAAGUCAUUCACCGGAUCAAGAGAUAAAAACUCCCGAAUUCACUUUGAUGACCCCCGAUGUCGUGGAUCCAUAGAAAAUCGUUGCAGAAAGAUCUACAGUCACCACCAUCUGGCCAAUCAAAUCUAGACCACCACCACCAACAGAGGAUCACAACGGCGGCCUGCAUCGCACAUGCCAUAAGGAAGAGAUCGUAUGUAAGUACAAGACCUAUAGCUAUUUUGUUUACCUUAGGAGCAGUACCAAUCUGGAAACAAGUUUCUAAUUGAGUAAAACUUGAAACAUGUAUGGAUGGAUAAAUUUUAGUAUUUGAUCCUUUUAUUGAAAAAUCAUAUAACUUACGAUCUUAUGGAGUUUAGAGAUGCUUAUCCUGUUCUUUAUGGCUUAAAUUCCAUCAAUAGUUCUGUAAUAUAGUUUUGCCCAGAUAGGAUGCAUUCUAUCAAAAUAAGAUGUAUGCAAAAACUUUGCAGUAAGUGCUUGUAUAUUGGAGGAAGCCAAAAUGAUAGAGAACUCAAACGCUUGGGUAUAGAGAUCAGAUAAGAUUUGCUUCUUUGUUGUUGUUUUGCUUUGUUUACACUGGUCUCACCAAUUAUUAUGAGCUUUUUUUUAGCUCGUAUUGGGUCCGUGUGUGAAGAGUGAAAGACUUUAGCUUGCUAAUUUAUUUUUACAUCUGCUCAUUAGGACCUCAUCAAAGGUGAUGAUGAUGCAUGAUUAACAUGAUUUAUCGAGAUCUGUUUGGAGCUUAGUAGGCCUGAACACGCUCACGUUCAUUAAGAUGAUUUUGGAACGUGCUUUCCUCUCGAUGACACCAUUUUUCCGCUAGCAAUGCAUGCAGAGCCCUGAGCCCUGCAUGGUUGGUCGUGGCAUCCUUGGCGACAACUCAUUAGGACCUCACCAAAGGUGACGAUGAUGUGGCUUGCCAUGUCAUCACCGGCGAAGGAGCGCACCGGUGCGGGACGUCGCAGUCACUAGAGAUGAUGGCAGGGUUUAGAGGGUUUGCCGGCGACAGAGGUGCCGACUCGGGUAGGGGCCGAUGAGGUAGUGUGUGACAACACUUGCUGGUCGUGGAUGGUGGUGGGAAGUGGUUGGGCAGGUAUAGGUGGGUGGGUUGUUAGAGUGGACGAAGAAAAAGGUAGGCGGCGGGAGGAAGAGAAUAGUAGCUACAACAGGUUGUCGCCGGUGUAGGAGAGGCGCGAGGGGUUAACAGACUUGAGUGUGGGGCGCAUGAUGUCGCGGGCACUAUAAAUGAUUAUGGGAGAGGUGAGCGGGUUGUGGACGAAAAAAAGUAGCGAUGAGAGGAAGAAGAAGAACCGGUAGCAGAGGUGGGUCGUCGCUGGCGGAUAAGAGGUAGGGGAUUAAUGGAUUCGAGUGCAGGGUAUAUGAGGUCUCAGGUGACUCCGUGACGGAGAUGACGGCUGCAUUUAAAGGGAUGGCCGGUGCAUCAUGUUGUAGUAUUUUGUUUGCACAAUCCAUCCCGAGAAAACAUAUAAAUAAAAGAAAUUGAUUAAAUUAUGUUAGAAAUAUCUAUUUGGGUGGAGAUAUAAGGAAGACUGCAGCUCAUGACAGUUGCUUUCCUUUGUCGAUAUUGUCAGCAUAAGAAUACAAAUUAUUUACACUUGCCUGCAGCUCAUGAAUGGUUGGUUGUUAUUCCUUUGACCAUGAUAUUGUUAUUACUUAAAUGUUCUAAUAUAUUGUACAAAGCUUCCAUUUAUGUCUUCAGAAAAAUCACCGAUAAAAAAAAAGAGCUCUCAAAUAUAUAUUUUAGCUCAUUAGAUCAGUUGUAGAAAUCAUGUGCCAUUUUUAUGUUCAUGUCAUCAUUUGAUUAUAUUUGCCAUAACUCGACUUGGUGCUCUUCAACAUACACUACAAGGUCUCUAAUUUCUCUGAAUACUCUUUACAAUUCUUAAUGCAAUCCUUUCAGCGGGAUAAAAAUAUAUUUACUCAAAUGAUGCCUAUCGUCGCUACACAAAAUAUCAUUACUUUUCACUCUUAAGGAGAUACUUUAACCAACUGUUCCUAGAAUUUUAAUAUGGGAUAUGCAUUCUUCUUUUGUUGAUAUCUUUUAUUAUGCUGAUAUGUCUGAUUCGGUGGACUAGCAUAGCAAAUGUAAAUGUGAAUGUGAAGGUGGAUUCCAUCAAAUUGUCUGUGCAGGUUAGUGUUGUCCCUGAUGCUUUAUACAGACAACGUGUUCAAAUAUCUUUCAUUGGACAGACCUCUGACGUGAUCAUAUUGCUAUUUUCAUCUUUUGGAUUUGCAUAUAAUGUUGACACCACAUGUGAAUCCGAAGCCACUUGUGCUAAGCAUUCCCUGGUUUGCCAGCUUGUGUGUUUCACUAAUGGAGAAGGUAUGAAUCUGUUUCUUUAAUGUGCAGUGUGCACACACCUUCCAUCACUAAUGGAGUUGAAUGUGACCGGGGUCGCGCUGCUAAAGCACUGCAUCUUCUGCGGUGCACGUGGCGACUAGAUGUAUCAAGGUGAGUGGGAGCUCUAGAAUUUCAUGUUAAUUUGAGCUGUUGACUGGGCCGUUUCUGUUGUUGUAUUACUAGAUUAGGUUCUGGUGUCUUGGUCUGCAGGCGUGCGUGAGCUCUGGCAUGGAGAGCUUCAUCAGUGUCUUUGAGUGCACUAGAUGGGGGAGUUAUGUUACUCGCUCACCCAUGGAGUUCUCCAAAAUUGUCUGUUGCUUCCUACUCUCCGGGGUCAUCUUUAACUGAUUUAAUUUGUCCCAAGUUGUGGUAAUUCGGGAGAGAGACAACGUCGUCAUGUUGGUCGCUGAGCAAGCAGAUCAAAGCACAAACACGGGAGGUAUCCGACAACAACGACGACCACGACAUCGUUCCACUUAGACUUAGAGGCAAGAGCAAUGAUUCCACCGGCAGCAGAGAUCAACAAGUUCUUCUCCAUCGGAGAGUAAAUGCUUCACCGCCAACUAAGUGAAGACUUAACUAAAAGAAGUACAAAUUGGACAUCAUGUGAGGCGUGAUGCUCAAAUCCGGCAAGGAAGAUUGCGGCCGUGCACGUAGAAAGGAAAAGGUGCCCACACAAUGAAAACAAGUCUGGAAAAGGAGGUUAGCUGAUUAAUCACAGACAUAACGCAAGAGUUAUGGUACAGAGAAAGAACUUCUUCAUUCAGGAUUACACAUGUGUCAUGUGUCAUAGACCAGCAUUGGAGGCAAGGGAUCACUUGUACUUCGUAUGCCCUUUUGCAAAACUCUGUUGGCAAUAUGUUUGUCCUUCAUGGAACCCUCCCUACUGGGACAGGUAUUCAAGACGAAGUUGCCCAUCGCAAAUAGUUGCUAAAUCUACCUUUUGCCAUGGACAUUAUUAUACUGAUCUCAUGGGCAAUUUGGACCACAA